rnacentral:RNase_P_RNA from 1 species
CGGGUGGGCCGGGUGACCGCUUCGACACACGUCGGGGAGGAAAGUCCGGGCUCCACUGGGCAGGGUGCUGGGUAACGCCCAGGGUCCGGUCGUCCUCGGAUGGCUGGAUACGGAAAGUGACACAGAAACCGUACCGUCCCAACUUGUCCCGAACUCGGGACUUAUCGGGAUAAGGGUGAAAACGCGAGGUAAGAGCUCACGGCCGACUGCGGUGACGUAGCGGCGGUCAAACCCCACCUGGAGCAAGGCCAAAUAGGGGGAUAUUGGGCGCCCGGCCCAUCCCCGGGUAGGCCGCUUGACCCCGAUGGUAACAUCGUCCCCACGAUUAAGUGGGGAUUCCGGCUCCUUACAGGCGCUGGAAGGGCUAGAGAGAUGGUCACCGUCCCGACUCGUCCCGAACUCGGGACUCGUCGGGAUACAGAACCCGGCUUACAGGCCCGCCCGGCUC